UUGUAACAGUCCGAAUAAAUGACCGCAGGGAAAAGAAUCGGGCAACUCAAUCGGGCAAGGUUGAGACAAUCAAAGGUGUACAGACAACUUGAUUUCUCGGCUAAUUGUUGAAUUCAAUCGUAGAAAAACAUGAGUCACAGAAGAUGAGAGGGAAAGUCUCUACCUCAGUGUCGAUGGGUGAUGUAUCUGAUAACUCCAACAGUGGAAUGACAAAACCAAGGGAGGUUCACGCACUGCUGAGUUGAUCAGUCCAAAACAUAUGGAUAUUGAAGGAUACAAGGUUCAAAGUGAGAUGGUGAUUGAGGGUUUCGAUCGGUUGAUUAUGGGUCGGGAAGAGAGAAAAGAAUCAAGAGGGUGUUCACCUGAGCCCGCAUUUUGUGAUGGGACUUGUGAAGAUGUUAUUGUGACUGCAUUGAAAGGUUGGAGGGCAGAAGAUGUAUGAGAAAGCACGGAGAGGCGAAAGGAUUGAACUUGAAGCACGAAGGAUUUCAAUUUUCCAGUUUGACGUGGAGCGAAGUUUACACGACAGGUCACAAGGACUCUGUUUCAAGUUUGGCUUUCUGUAUAGAUGGAUAGCUUCUUGCAUCUGGGAGCCUUGAUGGAAUUAUUUAAGUAUGGGAACCUGCGGAAGUGCACACUUGAAGGUUCCUGAGGUGGCAUCCGAGAGGACACUUGAUUAUGGCUGGUUCAGAGGAUUCAACUGUUUGGUUGUGGAAUGCUGACAAGGAUGGGUGGCUUAACAUGUUUUCAGGUCAUACAAGUAGCGUGACAUGCGGGGAGUUCAAACCUGAUGGUAAUUCUUAUAUAUUGGUAAUAUAAUGGCUCUUUAUGCUUUUAUUUUUAAAGGCAGUUUGAAGCCUUGCAGUUGAUAGUCUGACUUAUGACUGAAGAAAUUAGAAGAAUCUCGUGCUCAGCUUCAACAACUACAAAAAGAAAAGGCGGAGUGAGAGGUUGAAAAAAGUCCUUGAGUUUGUGACCACAAUUCAUGAUCUUUGUGCUGUCCGCGGAAUAGGCUUUUUUUAGUACUGUGAUUGAAGUCCAUCCAAGCCUUAUGAUACCAGUGGCGUGCAAUCUAAAAGCAUUAGCAAUGACACUUUAUCUCGGCUAGAUACGAGUGUCCUGGCUCUGCGAGAGGAUAAGUACAAAGGUUGCAUAAGAUGAUGGAAGAGCGCUCUCUUGUGAUUGAGCUAGCUGUCCACGCUCUCUUGUGAAUCACAUUGCUUUGGAUGAUAGUCUAGAAUUGUUUCAACUAAAAAUCCCCAGUGAUAAAUGGAUGUAGGGUUGCGGGUUUGUGAAUUAUAUUAUUUUGUGAUUUUUGUGGUUUGUAGAAUAUCUUACUUAGUUUCAUUUAAUUGUUUGUAUUAUGAACAUGCAUUAAAAUUUUGUUUAGUUUUUAAAAAUUCCUAUUCCUAUUCAUACCAAAAGUUUUUACCAUUU